CAGGGCACGCGAGUGCUCACUCUUCUCGCUCGCUGCAAAGAGGCGACGCCGCCCUACCCUAAUGCCGACGACCGGCCGGCGCGCACCCCACCCGCACCCCACUGCCGGCGGCGCACACCCUCACCCCGACCCGCGCUUGGCCCCAGGCCACCGCGCCGCAGCGGCCCCCGGCAGGGAGGCGCGCUCAUACCCUCCGCGAUGGAUGCUGGGAUUGAUCCGGAUGGGGGCAUUUAGGUUGUGCGUUCAGAUUUCUUAGUUCACCGCUAAGAUUGAUGACGGUACAACAAUCAAUGUGCAAAGAAAGUACGAUGAAUGGACUGUGGACUAUCGAUCGUACACCAUGCAGGCUUUACAAAAGGACUUGGCAGCUAGGGUUAAAUAGGGAAGCUGCCAGUAUCCUUUGAUUUCUGAAUUUUACAUGUCUAGUAAGGGGGGAAGGAAUUUGGAUGAUGUAGCUUUGUCACUUGCAUUCUCUGAAAGGCUUUCUGGAAGAUAUUUUUAUUUGUGGAUGUUGAGUACAUGGCUGUGCAAAUGGAAGGUAACUUAUGUAUUAGUGGGUUUCAUGAGCAAUGUAGUGAUAGAAAAUGGCAGUGCUCAAGUAAACUCAGCUAAUCCUGAGUAGGUUCCACAUGUGAUUGAUUGGGUUAGCCUACAGAUCGAACCAAUUGCAGAAGACCAAAUAGGUGGUGCAAUCCCAUUGAUGAGUGAAGAUGCUAUGUAUGCAUUUCUUGGUCUUCAAGCAGAAGAUGAGAGAGCAGAGCAAGCAAAGGCAGAGUUACCGGUUGAUGAGGCUGAAGUUGUAAACACUACUGCUAUUGUUGAUGUUGACCUCACAGGGGUAGAGUUAUCAGUUGAUGAUAGAAUCCCUGCUGAAGAGUUAGCUUUUUAUGAUAUGGAAGACCCACUUAUGGAAGUUGGAACAAACUAUCCUUCUAUGAAAGAAUUCAGGGCAGCAGCGAGGCAACGCGCCAUAAAGUGUCAGUUUAACAUGGGAACAGAGAAAUCCUAUAAAGAUAGGUUCAGGGCCUAUUGCAAAGUUGAGGGUUGUCCAUGGGCUAUCGUAGGCAGGUUGAUGCGUGAUGAGAAGCAAGUCAGGGUACAAGCUGUUAACUCUACGCCCAUUUGAAGUGCAUAACUAUUUCAUACUUACCUAACUUUGAUUUUGUUGUAUUGUGACUAAUGUGGUCAUUUUGCAUGUUACAUUGAAUAAACACGACCAUUUUUGUU